AGGACGAACGCUGGCGGCGUGCUUAACACAUGCAAGUCGAGCGGAAAGGCCCUUCGGGGUACUCGAGCGGCGAACGGGUGAGUAACACGUGAGUAAUCUGCCCCUAGCUCUGGGAUAGCUCCGGGAAAACCGGGAUUAAUACCGGAUAUGACCACUUUAGACAUCUGGCUGUGGUGGAAAGAAUUUCGGCUAGGGAUGAGCUCGCGGCCUAGUCAGCUUGUGGUGGGUAACGGCCUACCAAGGCGACGACGGGUA
rnacentral:rRNA from 1 species